UAGCUGUCCUGUAGCUAACGGAACCAGCUGAGACAACUAUACUAUUAGUUGCUUAGUGAAAAAUAAAAGAAAAUCACUUCCCAGAAUCCAGAUGAAAACAGAUGCAACACAGACUUUCUCUUCUGCAGCACUGACGUUGCUAACUGUAACUGCGACUUAGCUCAUUUAGCAGCGCAGCUAAGCGAGGUAGUACGGUGCACACGGCCGAGGAACACACAUAUUUACGGAGGUUUUUUAAUCCUACGGUGGCCCCAACAAAGACGUCGACUCAGGGACGAAGAAGACGAGCUCAGAUGGGGAAGGAAGAGGCGUCAAGCAGCAGAAGUUAAAGUUAAUUUAAAAUCAGCUCCGUAAAUUAUUUUAUGGCUCUUAUUAUUACUUUGCAACUACAUGAAACAGUUUAAAUUCAUUAACAUCGAAGACUUUUCUUCAUUCGGUGAAUUGUGCAACAUGAUGUUUAAUCAAGGGGAUCCUCAAGGGAGGACUUACAUGAGUGAUUAAUUUAAAAAUACCUACAGCGAACCAGUCCAGGGAAUUAGUGUCUGCUUAUUUUUCCGAGCAUGAAAACGGCUUCAUCUCAGUCCAGCUGACCACGACAGACUCAGAGGAGGACUUCCAUGGUAUCUGUUUUGUUUCUACUCCACUGUAUCUGACUUUGAUGCAUGAUGACUGCGAGCGGACCUCUAACCUUAAAAUGGUAGUGCAGCUUAAUCCAAGAUUAGGCAUGUUUUCUCAGUGCGGAGUACAAAUCUCCCUCCAUCUAUCAAAGCAGAAAUGCUUUUGAAAAACUGAGAAACGGCUCGGGAUAAAUCUGCCAGGAUGAAAAGAUGUUGAUGCUGAACCAAAAACAGCAACAAAAUAUGGAAAGGCCGUCGGCGGCCGUUUUUAUUUUUGACCUAUCUGGAUUUUAUGGCCUCCUAUGUAUUUGGCACGAAGGAGGGGGACGAUCCUGAAGUUCAAACAGAAGUCAGUCAGACUGUCCGGUUCAUUCUCACACAGAUUUACUUGGACUGGGAAUCAUAAUCAUACUCCCGUUAUCUCUGAUGGAGCUACAGAGUCGGGGAAGUCAGUGGUCACAGAUCGGGGAGGAGCUUUUAGAAGAUUUCUCAAUUUUGGAUUUGGAGUGUCUGCUUGAAUAACAGCUCUGUAUAUCAUCUGGUGGUGUGUUCACAGAGGAAGCUUGCUGCCCAAAGACAGUUUAAAAGCAAAGACAUCAUGUAACGGACGAGGGAUGAAACUACUUAAAAUUGCAUACACAAGACACAAAUUUGAACAUUUCAACAUCCAGAUUUGUCAAACAUCUUACAUUUCCACGCCACAACGCUGCUCUGAUUAUAUCCUCUAAGCCCCGCUGAUGCCUCAAACUGAAGCAGAGCGUCAUCAGAGGAUCCACACCUCGCCAGACCCGGCCGGCGGCGAGCCUCGUCACCCGCAGCUACAGUAAAGCUUGAGGUGGUGUGAACGGAGCAGACAGAUCCUCAGGAAGAGCAGAACGCAAACAGGGCUCCCAUUGAGUAACUGCCACGGCUCAUUACUGCUUCAAACAAUCUUUGCCCCGGACUGGCUGGAUUAGGUUGUUUCUGAGAUCUCUCGUUCGCUUCCACAGAGCUCACACCGGCGGUGAGAGAGGCAAAGGCUGCUGUUGACCUUUACGAAAAGGAAAGGUGAGGUGGAGAAAAUUACAAACCUUUUAAAUCAGUUUUAAACCGUAAAACAUCAAAAGCCUUGAAAGAGCAAUGAAAGCGACAAGACAAAAUGCCAUGUGUCUUUAAAAGUUAGGGUAUGAGUGGAUAGCGGCUAGAGGCUCUGAGGCAUUGUGUUGAGAUAAAUGCUAACAUCAGCAUGCUUACACACUCACAAUGACAAUGCAAACAUGCUGAGUUGGAAGGGCCAGCGAGUAAUGUAGCUUUGAGAAGGAUAAGCCUCCUCCCUAAACGUACCGCUUUAGUCUAUCCUUCACAUGUAGUGAUGUGCAGAUCGCUCUUAUUUCUAAAGCAUAAUUCACGGAUGAGGUGGCAUCAUAAAGAUGACAUAAUGAUUAAUUGUGGAUGGGAUGCAGGGGUGUAAUAAUACAUCUCUAGUUAGGAAACACAUCAUCCAUACAUCUCAAAAGGGUCUCACACUCAGUCAUGAUUCAUAAAAUGAUGAUUUUUGAGUAAAGAUGCUGUCUUCCUGAUGAAUCCCGAGCUCCAUCAGAGCUCUCCAAAAAAAUGUCUAUUUCAGAAGCCAAAAGUUUGAUUGUUUCUUCAGGAGAGUUGAGAACUACAUCUCUUAGUCUUGCUGCUUUAAGUGUGCCAUGAUAUUUGCUGCUGUGACAUUGCUGCACAUUGGAAACAAUUGAAAAUACUAAAAGCAUCCUCUCUAGUAAAUAAAACG